rnacentral:rRNA from 1 species
GACGAACGCUGGCGGCAGGCUUAACACAUGCAAGUCGAGCGCCCCGCAAGGGGAGCGGCAGACGGGUGAGUAACGCGUGGGAAUCUACCCAUCCCUACGGAAUAGCUCCGGGAAACUGGAAUUAAUACCGUAUACGCCCUACGGGGGAAAGAUUUAUCGGGGAUGGAUGAGCCCGCGUUGGAUUAGCUAGUUGGUGGGGUAAAGGCCUACCAAGGCGACGGUCCAUAGCUGGUCUGAGAGGAUGAUCAGCCACAUUGGGACUGAGACACGGCCCAAACUCCUACGGGAGGCAGCAGUGGGGAAUAUUGGACAAUGGGGGCAACCCUGAUCCAGCCAUGCCGCGUGAGUGAUGAAGGCCUUAGGGUUGUAAAGCUCUUUCACCGGGGAAGAUAAUGACGGUACCCGGAGAAGAAGCCCCGGCUAACUUCGUGCCAGCAGCCGCAGUAA